UUGUGGGUAAAUUGCACUUUUAAUUAUGAGUGAACUGAACCCUACUCACUCUCCACAGUCCACAGCCCCUCUCUAUAAAGCUGGUAAACAGAUUGUCUGGUAGAGUGGUCCACGAGGGACUCUGUAUGGGCAAUGGUCAUUUCUCGCCUCCUGCUCUCUCUCUCUCUCUCUCUCUCUCUCUCUCUCUCUCUCUCAAACACACACAGAUGGCAUUAUAUAUGUCUUCUGUACAAGAAAGACACAAGAGAUGUCCAUGAGAAUCAAUUAGCUGAGAUCUGAGGAAAAAGUGGGCGGGCGGGUGAAAGUUUGUGGAAGUUCUGGUCAUGCUGUUCCACAGCUUUCUUGAACUUCUUGAUCUGCUUAAUCUAUGAGAUUAACACCGUGGAGGAAGCUCAAGAAAGCUGUGGGAUAACAUGGCAUUUCAGGAUUUUGUUGGUGUUCCCUUCACAUGUUUCUAGCUGUUGACACUAGAUCUCGAUCUCCCUAUUCCUAGCUCCAUGCGGCAUUAAUUCAAGGCGGCUUUUACCAUCCUUUCAUCUGCAUGAUUGUGGUUGGAAUGACUACGGGAUCCCGAAUCAUCUUCGUUCCUGAUGAUAAGCUAGAAGUUACGAAGGUCAUUCAAUAAUUAAUAAUUUUCUAAGGAAAUUACUUUUUCUCUUUUGAUUCUUUAUAUAUAAGCAUUAUAUGUAACUACAAACCAGCGCCCAGCUGCUUGAUUGUUUAAUUGCUAAAGAGAAUAUGCCCAAACAUCUUUUUUAA